GACGUAGGGUGCAAGCGUUGUCCGGAUUUAUUGGGCGUAAAGAGCUCGUAGGCGGCUUGUUGCGUCGACUGUGAAAACCCGCGGCUUAACUGCGGGCUUGCAGUCGAUACGGGCAGGCUAGAGUUCGGUAGGGGAGACUGGAAUUCCUGGUGUAGCGGUGAAAUGCGCAGAUAUCAGGAGGAACACCAGUGGCGAAGGCGACUACCUGGCCUGUUCUUGACGCUGAGGCGCGAAAGCUAGGGGAGCAAACGGG
rnacentral:rRNA from 1 species